AACUUUUGACAAUGGAUCUCUUUGCUCUCGCAUCGAUGAAGAACGCAGCGAAAUGCUAUAAGUAAUGUGAAUUGCAGAAUUCAGUGAAUCAUCGAAUCUUUGAACGCACCUUGCACUCUCUGGUAUUCCGGGGAGCACGCCUGUUCGAGUGUCAUUAAAACUCUCAAAUAAAGAAGGCGUUUUAGCCAUCUCUGUUUGGAUUUGGGCUUUGCUGCAUUAAUGUGGCUAGUCUUAAAUGUAUUAGCUGGUCCUCAUUGAGGUUUUGGUUCUACUCAGCGUGAUACUUAUCUAACGUUGAGGACAGUCUCAGAACUGGCCAUGGCUCUAUCUGGAUUGCUUCUACAUUGUCUUGAGGACAAUUGCUUACUUUCUGACCUCGAAUCAGGUGGGACUACCCGCUGAACUUAAGCAUAUCAAUACGCGGAGGCU
rnacentral:misc_RNA from 1 species